AACGCGAAGAACCUUACCUGGUCUUGACAUAUCUAGAAUCCUGCAGAGAUGCGGGAGUGCCUUCGGGAAUUAGAAUACAGGUGCUGCAUGGCUGUCGUCAGCUCGUGUCGUGAGAUGUUGGGUUAAGUCCCGCAACGAGCGCAACCCUUGUCCUUAGUUACCAGCGGGUUAAGCCGGGAACUCUAAGGAUACUGCCAGUGACAAACUGGAGGAAGGCGGGGACGACGUCAAGUCAUCAUGGCCCUUACGACCAGGGCUACACACGUGCUACAAUGGUAGGUACAGAGGGCAGCUACACAGCGAUGUGAUGCGAAUCUCAAAAAGCCUAUCGUAGUCCAGAUUGGAGUCUGCAACUCGACUCCAUGAAGUAGGAAUCGCUAGUA
rnacentral:rRNA from 1 species